AGAGUUUGAUCCUGGUUCAGGAUGAACGCUAGCUACAGGCUUAACACAUGCAAGUCGAGGGGCAGCGGGAUUGAAGCUUGCUUCAAUUGCCGGCGACCGGCGCACGGGUGAGUAACGCGUAUCCAACCUUCCGUACACUCAGGGAUAGCCUUUCGAAAGAAAGAUUAAUACCUGAUGGUAUGAUGAGAUUGCAUGGUAUCAUCAUUAAAGAUUUAUCGGUGUACGAUGGGGAUGCGUUCCAUUAGGUAGUAGGCGGGGUAACGGCCCACCUAGCCAACGAUGGAUAGGGGUUCUGAGAGGAAGGUCCCCCACAUUGGAACUGAGACACGGUCCAAACUCCUACGGGAGGCAGCAGUGAGGAAUAUUGGUCAAUGGACGAGAGUCUGAACCAGCCAAGUAGCGUGAAGGAUGAAGGUCCUACGGAUUGUAAACUUCUUUUAUAAGGGAAUAAACCCUCCCACGUGUGGGAGCUUGUAUGUACCUUAUGAAUAAGCAUCGGCUAACUCCGUGCCAGCAGCCGCGGUAAUACGGAGGAUGCGAGCGUUAUCCGGAUUUAUUGGGUUUAAAGGGAGCGCAGACGGGUCGUUAAGUCAGCUGUGAAAGUUUGGGGCUCAACCUUAAAAUUGCAGUUGAUACUGGCGUCCUUGAGUGCGGUUGAGGUGUGCGGAAUUCGUGGUGUAGCGGUGAAAUGCUUAGAUAUCACGAAGAACUCCGAUUGCGAAGGCAGCCUGCUAAGCUGCAACUGACAUUGAGGCUCAAAAGUGUGGGUAUCAAACAGGAUUAGAUACCCUGGUAGUCCACACGGUAAACGAUGAAUACUCGCUGUUUGCGAUAUACGGCAAGCGGCCAAGCGAAAGCGUUAAGUAUUCCACCUGGGGAGUACGCCAGCAACGGUGAAACUCAAAUGAAUUGACGGAAGGGCG
rnacentral:rRNA from 1 species